UACAGAGGGUGCGAACGUUGCUCGGAUUUACUGGGCGUAAAGCGCGUGUAGGCGGACUCGCAAGUCGGUUGUGAAAUCCCUGGGCUUAACCUAGGAACUGCAUCCGAAACUGCUUGUCUUGAGUAAUGGAGAGGGUGGCGGAAUUCCCGGUGUAGAGGUGAAAUUCGUAGAUAUCGGGAGGAACAUCAGUGGCGAAGGCGGCCACCUGGACAUUUACUGACGCUGAGACGCGAAAGCGUGGGGAGCAAACAGG
rnacentral:rRNA from 1 species